rnacentral:rRNA from 1 species
GAUGAACGCUGGCGGCGUGCCUAAUACAUGCAAGUCGAGCGAACAGACGAGGAGCUUGCUCCUCUGACGUUAGCGGCGGACGGGUGAGUAACACGUGGAUAACCUACCUAUAAGACUGGGAUAACUUCGGGAAACCGGAGCUAAUACCGGAUAAUAUAUUGAACCGCAUGGUUCAAUAGUGAAAGACGGUUUUGCUGUCACUUAUAGAUGGAUCCGCGCCGCAUUAGCUAGUUGGUAAGGUAACGGCUUACCAAGGCAACGAUGCGUAGCCGACCUGAGAGGGUGAUCGGCCACACUGGAACUGAGACACGGUCCAGACUCCUACGGGAGGCAGCAGUAGGGAAUCUUCCGCAAUGGGCGAAAGCUUGACGGAGCAACGCCGCGUGAGUGAUGAAGGUCUUCGGAUCGUAAAACGCUGUUAUUAGGGAAGAACAAAUGUGUAAGUAACUAUGCACGUCUUGACGGUACCGAAUCAGAAAGCCACGGCUAACUACGU